rnacentral:RNase_P_RNA from 1 species
GGCGAUUGGACAGCUGCUAUAUAUUUCUGAUAUGUAGAGGAAAGUCCGAGCACUAAUGAGAAAAGUGCCAGUUAACGGCUGGUCAGGGUAACUUGAAGGAAAGUGCCACAGAAAAAAUACCGCUAUGAAUUAUCGUAGUAAGGGUGAAAUGGCGAGGUAAGAGCUCACCGCUUUGUUGGUAACAACAAAGGCAUGGUAAACCCCACUUAGUGAAAGGCCAGAUAAAAGGAAAUGGAUUAUCUCAUAUCCAAGUACUUUGGGUAGGCCGCUUGAGCUUAAUGGCAACAUUAAGCCUAGAUAGAUAGCUGUCAGUUUAAAACUACAGAACUCGGCUUAUAGAUCGCCUG